rnacentral:rRNA from 1 species
AUUGAACGCUGGCGGCGUGCUUAACACAUGCAAGUCGAUCGGUAACGCGGGGGCAACCCUGGCGACGAGAGGCGGACGGGUGAGGAACGCUUGGGAAUCUGCCUAUCAGCGGGGGACAACACGGGGAAACUCGUGCUAAUACCGCAUACGCUCUACGGAGGAAAGCCGGGGACCGCAAGGCCUGGCACUGAUGGAUGAGCCCAAGCCGGAUUAGCUAGUUGGCGGGGUAACGGCCCACCAAGGCGACGAUCCGUAGCUGGUCUGAGAGGACGAUCAGCCACACUGGGACGGAGACACGGCCCAGACUCCUACGGGAGGCAGCAGUGGGGAAUAUUGGGCAAUGGGGGAAACCCUGAUCCAGCGACGCCGCGUGGGUGAAGAAGGCCUGCGGGUUGUAAAGCCCUUUCGGUAGGGACGAAAGCUCUCGACCUAACACGUCGGGAGGUUGACUUAACCUACAAAAGAAGCACCGGCUAACUCUGUGCCAGCCGCCGCCGUAACAC